UGGGCAGAGAAAUCGUGAGGC
rnacentral:miRNA from 1 species